rnacentral:tRNA from 1 species
UUACACCCAUGGCUCAGUUGGUAGAGCAUGAGACUCUUAAUCUCAGGGUUGUGGGUUCAAGCCCCACACUGGGCAAA